rnacentral:rRNA from 1 species
UACGUAGGGGGCUAGCGUUGUCCGGAAUCAUUGGGCGUAAAGCGCGCGUAGGCGGCCAGAUAAGUCCGGUGUGAAAGUCACAGGCUCAACCUGUGAAUGCCGCUGGAAACUGUCUGGCUAGAGUCCGGAAGGGGCGAGUGGAAUUCCUGGUGUAGCGGUGAAAUGCGCAGAUAUCAGGAAGAACACCAACGGCGAAGGCAGCUCGCUGGGACGGUACUGACGCUGAGACGCGAAAGCGUGGGGAGCGAACAGG